rnacentral:rRNA from 1 species
AAACCAGCACCUCAAGUGGUCAGGAUGAUUAUUGGGCCUAAAGCAUCCGUAGCCGGCUCUGUAAGUUUUCGGUUAAAUCUGUACGCUUAACGUACAGGCUGCUGGGAAUACUGCAGGGCUAGGGAGUGGGAGAGGUAGACGGUACUCGGGAGGAAGUGGUAAAAUGCUUUGAUCUCUCGAUGACCACCUGUGGCGAAGGCGGUCUACCAGAACACGUCCGACGGUGAGGGAUGAAAGCUGGGGGAGCAAACCGGAUUAGAAACCCCGGUAGUCC